AGUCUUUUAGUUGAAUAAAAUAUUAAAUUGCAAGUUUAAAGGUGCUAAAGUGUGGAGACUU
rnacentral:tRNA from 1 species